CACGCAGGCGGUUUGUUAAGCUAGAUGUGAAAGCCCCGGGCUCAACCUGGGAUGGUCAUUUAGAACUGGCAGACUAGAGUCUUGGAGAGGGGAGUGGAAUUCCAGGUGUAGCGGUGAAAUGCGUAGAUAUCUGGAGGAACAUCAGUGGCGAAGGCGACUCCCUGGCCAAAGACUGACGCUCAUGUGCGAAAGUGUGGGUAGCGAACA
rnacentral:rRNA from 1 species